rnacentral:rRNA from 1 species
AUGUUGGUUGAGGGUUUGAUGAAGAUUGUUGCAGCAAUUGUGCCCGAUUUUAUCCUAGGUAUAAUUAUGGGUUCUGGAGUACAAGGGUUACUAAUGCUAAACGCUGGUUUCUUCAGGCUUCCAAAUGACCUCCCAAAACCAAUAUGGAAGUACCCAACUUACUACAUAUCUUACCAAAAGUAUACAAAUCAAGGAUUGUACAAAAAUGAAUUCUUGGGCUUGGUCUUCCAAGAUUUCGGUGUUGUCGGGGGCAUUGACAUUGGUGGCCAAUAUAUCCUAAAGAACAACUUACAAGUGGAGUUAGGUUACUCAAAGUGGGUCGAUCUUGCGAUAUUACUUGGAAUGGUCAUUAUAUAUAGGGUUCUUUUCUUGGUCAUUAUAAAGGUUUCAAAAAUGGCAAAACCAUUCAUAAAAUGUCUAAUAGCAAAAGUGUAA